rnacentral:misc_RNA from 1 species
AAAAAAAAAAAAAAAAGCAAUUGGGUAGGCAUAGUUAUCACUUGGCAUAGCAUGGGGUGAUCCAUCUAACUUUAGUCUGGCUCCUUUUGGCUCUACCCAUGAGAUCUUGUUGGGCUAGCCCAUGAAAGGUUGGCUUGAUUAUCUCAGCUCAUGGGUUUGGCUCAUUACAGCUCAGUCCACCAUGCUAUUGGUUCUCGUAUCAACGGCCAUUGGGCCUCACCACUCUGAUACCAUGUUGAAAUCAAAAGCCAAUGAGUGUUGAUUAAUAAGCAAGCAAGUCUCCAUGUUGAACUAGACCGGAAAUUGGGAUUUCCAUCACCAAAAUGGCCUAAGCCUUUUUGGUUUGGUUUGCCAACACUUUAUAUGCCCUUUUCUUGUACAAUGGGGAUGUGGGACUUGUUCCCUCAAGUCAUAUUUCAACAGAGACUAUAUAUGGUAGACUAAGCAUUAAAAAAAUAUUGAAUAAAUAGUAACCUUAAAAGCACAGUCUUCGAACAUGAUUCCCCACAAUAAUACUUCUAUAAAUUAGGGUAUGCAAUUGUGAUAUAAAAAUAUUUUCAAAGCAAACUCUUUCCUAAUAUUCAAAAUUAAAUACAAAUCAAUAGAUACUUGUAAAUUAAAUUUAAAUUUGGCAAUUAAAUUAACAGAAAUCUACUAAACAGAGGAAUUUGCAAAACAGGAUACAAUGAAAUUGCAAAACAGGAUACAGUGAAAUUGCAAUAGAGGUAUCCUACAUAAUUUUAAUUUGUAUAAGAGAGGAAUAGUAUUUUAGCCGAGUGAUGAUAGGAAUAACAUUUUCAUACAAGCCUCAUUCUCUUUUGUGUUGACUGCUGAUUGGGAAGUAGAACCAUCUCUUCUAAAAAUAAGAAAUUCACCUUUUUGCCUCCAUAACUAGGAGGAGGAGUAGGGGAACAAGUGGCCUCCAACCAGUAUGGGAAUCUUUAUACACAUUUACACAAACAAAGAGCCUCCAAUCAAGCUUGCUUUUUCCUUUUUUCCUUUUGCCUUUUUUCCUUUCAGGUUUCCCUUUGGCAUAAUCCUUGGCUCUUUAUAUAAAAAUAUCAUUUGAAUCAUUUCAAAAAUAAAGUUAUAGAAGAAAAAGUCUACAGCAACCAUUCUAUCAAAUAAUGUGGAUAUUGAUGAUGUACAAUAUGACUCCUUUGAACUUCUCAAUGAGAUACCAUCCAAAACAGUGGUUCAUCAAACAACUAAAAUAAAAUAUCUCUAAAACAUAUGAUAUUGAUAACAGUAUGAAAAACAUAAUGAUGUACCUUGAAAUCAGACACAUCCUCGAA